rnacentral:RNase_P_RNA from 1 species
AAACCGAAGUGUGCAGUCGCCGUGCAGCUUCAAAGCUGCGCAGAGGAAAGUCCGAACUUCACAGGGCAGGGUGCCGGUCGAGAUUCCUUAACGCUGGUGGUUAACACCGCCGGCUUUCGGGAAUCAAGCCUGGGGAUGACGGCGCAAGCCGGUUAUCACAGAUAGUGCAACAGAAAACAAACCGCUCCGGGAAACCGGAGUAAGGGUGAAAUGGCGGUGUAAGAGACCACCAGACGUUACAGUAAUGUAAUGUGCUUGGCAAACCUCCCCGAAGCAAGGCUAAAUAGGAACACUUUCCCCUAAGGGGGAGAAGAGUGGCCCGCUCAAUUCCGCAAGGAGAGUUUUCGGGUAAGCCGCAUUAGAUAAAUGACUGCAGUUUUAUCCGUUAUUUCCGGGUAAUCCACAGAAUUCGGCUUACAGCUUCGGUUUCAGC